GGGCCAGGGGCGGGGUGCUAUACAUGCAAGUCGAGCGGACAGAAGGGAGCUUGCUCCCGGAUGUUAGCGGCGGACGGGUGAGUAACACGUGGGUAACCUGCCUGUAAGACUGGGAUAACUCCGGGAAACCGGAGCUAAUACCGGAUAGUUCCUUGAACCGCAUGGUUCAAGGAUGAAAGACGGUUUCGGCUGUCACUUACAGAUGGACCCGCGGCGCAUUAGCUAGUUGGUGAGGUAACGGCUCACCAAGGCGACGAUGCGUAGCCGACCUGAGAGGGUGAUCGGCCACACUGGGACUGAGACACGGCCCAGACUCCUACGGGAGGCAGCAGUAGGGAAUCUUCCGCAAUGGACGAAAGUCUGACGGAGCAACGCCGCGUGAGUGAUGAAGGUUUUCGGAUCGUAAAGCUCUGUUGUUAGGGAAGAACAAGUGCAAGAGUAACUGCUUGCACCUUGACGGUACCUAACCAGAAAGCCACGGCUAACUACGUGCCAGCAGCCGCGGUAAUACGUAGGUGGCAAGCGUUGUCCGGAAUUAUUGGGCGUAAAGGGCUCGCAGGCGGUUUCUUAAGUCUGAUGUGAAAGCCCCCGGCUCAACCGGGGAGGGUCAUUGGAAACUGGGAAACUUGAGUGCAGAAGAGGAGAGUGGAAUUCCACGUGUAGCGGUGAAAUGCGUAGAGAUGUGGAGGAACACCAGUGGCGAAGGCGACUCUCUGGUCUGUAACUGACGCUGAGGAGCGAAAGCGUGGGGAGCGAACAGGAUUAGAUACCCUGGUAGUCCACGCCGUAAACGAUGAGUGCUAAGUGUUAGGGGGUUUCCGCCCCUUAGUGCUGCAGCUAACGCAUUAAGCACUCCGCCUGGGGAGUACGGUCGCAAGA
rnacentral:rRNA from 1 species